CCUACGGGUGGCUGCAGUGGGGAAUAUUGCACAAUGGGGGAAACCCUGAUGCAGCAACGCCGCGUGAGUGAAGAAGUAUUUCGGUAUGUAAAGCUCUAUCAGUAGGGCAGCAGAAAGACGGUACCUGACUAAGAAGCCCCGGCUAACUACGUGACAGCAGCCGCGGUAAUACGUAGGGGGCAAGCGUUAUCCGGAUUUACUGGGUGUAAAGGGGGCGUAGACGGCUGUGAAAGUCUGAAGUGAAAGCCCGGGGCUCAACCGCGGAACUGCUUUGGAAACUGUAUAGCGUGAGUACUGGAGAGGCAGGCGGAAUUCCUAGUGUAGCGGUGAAAUGCGUAGAUAUUAGGAGGAACACCAGUGGCGAAGGCGGCCUGCUGGACAGAAACUGACGUUGAGGCUCGAAAGCGUGGGGAGCAAACAGGAUUAGAUACCCGAGUAGUC
rnacentral:rRNA from 1 species